CAAGCAUUGCCUUAUACCCUUCGUGUUACCUGCACAGAUCUGCAUGCAGAGAUUGAAGAUAAAGCUGACAGGACAACUUCUUUAGCCACCUGGCUUCACUAUCAGACAAAAGGGUCUAUUCUUCAUUUUCAAAUUAUUCAAAGAAUUUCUUGGAAUCUCUGCCAAUAUUCUCAAAGAAAUUAUGUGAGCAAGGAAGGUGGAAAAUAACCUGUUCGUUCCAGCUGCUGUCCUGGAAUACUGUGUCUGGUGGCUGUUUCAUUCUCAGACCUUGAAGAUCCACCCUGACCAUGCUGAGAUUUGGGCAGCACCUGAUCAAGCCCUCGGUGGUGUUCCUGAGGACAGAGCUGUGCUUUGCUCUGGUGAACCGCAGGCCGGUGGUGCCAGGCCGUAUCCUUUCCAUGGUGCUGCUCCCUAGGAAAGGCAGCACACUAUCAGGACACUUGGAAAGCCAGUUCCAACUUUCAGCCGGAAAAACACUCAUGGCUACUGUUCCUCUUGUGGAGUCGUGAACUGAUUUGUG
ensembl:lncRNA